CGAUGAAGCCCUUCGGGGUGGAUUAGUGGCGAACGGGUGAGUAACACGUGGGCAAUCUGCCCUGCACUCUGGGACAAGCCCUGGAAACGGGGUCUAAUACCGGAUACUGAUCGCCUUGGGCAUCCUUGGUGAUCGAAAGCUCCGGCGGUGCAGGAUGAGCCCGCGGCCUAUCAGCUUGUUGGUGAGGUAAUGGCUCACCAAGGCGACGACGGGUAGCCGGCCUGAGAGGGCGACCGGCCACACUGGGACUGAGACACGGCCCAGACUCCUACGGGAGGCAGCAGUGGGGAAUAUUGCACAAUGGGCGAAAGCCUGAUGCAGCGACGCCGCGUGAGGGAUGACGGCCUUCGGGUUGUAAACCUCUUUCAGCAGGGAAGAAGCGAAAGUGACGGUACCUGCAGAAGAAGCGCCGGCUAACUACGUGCCAGCAGCCGCGGUAAUACGUAGGGCGCGAGCGUUGUCCGGAAUUAUUGGGCGUAAAGAGCUCGUAGGCGGCUUGUCGCGUCGGUUGUGAAAGCCCGGGGCUUAACCCCGGGUCUGCAGUCGAUACGGGCAGGCUAGAGUUCGGUAGGGGAGAUCGGAAUUCCUGGUGUAGCGGUGAAAUGCGCAGAUAUCAGGAGGAACACCGGUGGCGAAGGCGGAUCUCUGGGCCGAUACUGACGCUGAGGAGCGAAAGCGUGGGGAGCGAACAGGAUUAGAUACCCUGGUAGUCCACGCCGUAAACGGUGGGCACUAGGUGUGGGCGACAUUCCACGUCGUCCGUGCCGCAGCUAACGCAUUAAGUGCCCCGCCUGGGGAGUACGGCCGCAAGGCUAAAACUCAAGGAAUUGACGGGGGCCCGCACAAGCGG
rnacentral:rRNA from 1 species